AGUGAACGCUGGCGGUGUGCCUAACACAUGCAAGUCGAACGGCAGCACAGUAAGAGCUUGCUCGUACGGAUGGCGAGUGGCGGACGGGUGAGGAAUAGAGCGGCAUCUGCUUUUUCUUGGGGGAUAACGUGGGUAAACUUACGCUAAUACCGCAUACGACGUACGGGUGAAAGCAAGGGAUCUUCGGACCUUGCGCGAUUGAAUUAGCCGAUGUCGGAUUAGCUAGUUGGCGGGCAAAAGGCACACCAAGGCGACGAUCCGUAGCUGGUCUGAGAGGAUGAUUCGCCACACUGGAACUGAGAAACGGUCCAGACUCCGACGGGAGGAAGCAGUGGGGAAUACUGGACAAUGGGCGCAAGCCUGAUACAGCCAUACCGCGUGAGUGAAGAAGGCCUUCGGGUGGUAAAGCCAUGUUGUUGGGCAAGAAAAGCAGCAGGUUCAGAACCCGCUGUUAUGACGGUACCCAAAGAAUAAGCACCGGCUAACUUCGUG
rnacentral:rRNA from 1 species